AUCACUUCUCGGCCUUUUGGCUAAGAUCAAGUAUAGUAAUCUUUCAGUUUAUGCUUGAAUGUGGUUGUUUUUUUCCUGCCAUUUUUGUUGUUUGUUUGUUUGUUUUGAGACAAGGUCUCAGUAUAUAGUUCAGACUGCCCUGAACUCACUAUGUAGCCCAGGUUGGUCUCAAACUC
rnacentral:snRNA from 1 species